CCUACGUGGGGCUGCAGUGAGGAAUAUUGGUCAAUGGACGAGAGUCUGAACCAGCCAAGUAGCGUGAAGGAUGACUGCCCUAUGGGUUGUAAACUUCUUUUAUAUGGGAAUAAAAUGUUCCACGUGUGGGAUUUUGCAUGUACCAUAUGAAUAAGGAUCGGCUAACUCCGUGCCAGCAGCCGCGGUAAUACGGAGGAUCCGAGCGUUAUCCCGAUUUAUUGGGUUUAAAGGGAUCGGAGGUGGGUUGUUAAGUCAGUUGUGAAAGUUUGCGGCUCAACCGUAAAAUUGCAAUUGAAACUGGCAGUCUUGAGUACAGUAGAGGUAGGCGGAAUUCGUGGUGUAGCGGUGAAAUGCUUAGAUAUCACGAAGAACUCCGAUUGCGAAGGCAGCUCACUGGACUGCAACUGACACUGAGGCUCGAAAGUGUGGGUAUCAAACAGGAUUAGAUACCCUAGUAGUC
rnacentral:rRNA from 1 species